UACGUAGGGGGGCUAGCGUUGUCCGGAAUCAUUGGGCGUAAAGAGCGCGUAGGCGGCUGGAAUAGUCCGGUGUGAAAUCCACAGGCUUAACCUGUGAAUGCCGCUGGAAACUGUCUGGCUAGAGUCCGGAAGGGGCGAGUGGAAUUCCUGGUGUAGCGGUGAAAUGCGCAGAUAUCAGGAGGAACACCAAUGGCGAAGGCAGCUCGCUGGGACGGUACUGACGCUGAGGCGCGAAAGCGUGGGGAGCAAACAGG
rnacentral:rRNA from 1 species